GCCUCUAUAGCUCAGCUGGUAGAGCAACGGACUCUUAAUCCGUGGGUCGUGGGUUCGAAUCCCUCUGGAGGUA
rnacentral:tRNA from 1 species